rnacentral:rRNA from 1 species
GGAUGAGCCCGCGGCCUAUCAGCUUGUUGGUGGGGUAAUGGCCUACCAAGGCGACGACGGGUAGCCGGCCUGAGAGGGCGACCGGCCACACUGGGACUGAGACACGGCCCAGACUCCUACGGGAGGCAGCAGUGGGGAAUAUUGCACAAUGGGCGAAAGCCUGAUGCAGCGACGCCGCGUGAGGGAUGACGGCCUUCGGGUUGUAAACCUCUUUCAGCAGGGAAGAAGCGAAAGUGACGGUACCUGCAGAAGAAGCGCCGGCUAACUACGUGCCAGCAGCCGCGGUAAUACGUAGGGCGCAAGCGUUGUCCGGAAUUAUUGGGCGUAAAGAGCUCGUAGGCGGCUUGUCGCGUCGGAUGUGAAAGCCCGGGGCUUAACCCCGGGUCUGCAUUCGAUACGGGCAGGCUAGAGUGUGGUAGGGGAGAUCGGAAUUCCUGGUGUAGCGGUGGAAUGCGCAGAUAUCAGGAGGAACACCGGUGGCGAAGGCGGAUCUCUGGGCCAUUACUGACGCUGAGGAGCGAAAGCGUGGGGAGCGAACAGGAUUAGAUACCCUGGUAGUCCACGCCGUAAACGUUGGGAACUAGGUGUUGGCGACAUUCCACGUCGUCGGUGCCGCAGCUAACGCAUUAAGUUCCCCGC